rnacentral:rRNA from 1 species
GACGAACGCUGGCGGCGUGCUUAACACAUGCAAGUCGAACGAUGAAGCUGGAGCUUGCCCCGGUGGAUUAGUGGCGAACGGGUGAGUAACACGUGAGCAAUCUGCCCUUGACUCUGGGAUAACUGCGGGAAACUGUAGCUAAUACCGGAUACUUUCACUGGAAGGCAUCUUCUGGUGAAGAAAGAAUUUCGGUCAAGGAUGAGCUCGCGGCCUAUCAGCUUGUUGGUGAGGUAACGGCUCACCAAGGCGACGACGGGUAGCCGGCCUGAGGGGGUGACCGGCCACACUGGGACUGAGACACGGCCCAGACUCCUACGGGAGGCAGCAGUGGGGAAUAUUGCACAAUGGGCGCAAGCCUGAUGCAGCAACGCCGCGUGAGGGAUGAAGGCCUUCGGGUUGUAAACCUCUUUUAGCAGGGAAGAAGCGAAAGUGACGGUACCUGCAGAAAAAGCACCGGCUAACUACGUGCCAGCCGCCGCCGUAA